CAUUUUAUUCUCAGCAUGGCUAUGUAUUAAAGUAGGCUGUAAUAGUAGCAAUGCCGUUCAUAUUAUUUAUAAAUUGGAGAAUGUCACAUACGAGGUACAGACGUAUCACUUUACUAUCUACUUAAUACGCAUGAGGUGCAUGUGUCUUCGUACGAAUUGGAAUAUUCCUUCCUGGAAAGAUUGACGGUCUCAUUAGUCGCCAGGAAUUCGAAGAUACGUGAAUCCGUCUUGAUUCCUUAUUUUCUUUUUCUUCUCAAAUCUUUUGUGAAUAAAUUCAGUUCUUUUUUCAUAUCAAAUUGAGAAAUAAGUACUUUCCCAUUUUUACGACGAAUUUGCAUUAUAGUAUGAUCAUUUUCUUCACGCGCGGUAUGUGGUAAGGAACGAGUAGUGCCGUGGACAUUUAACCGAGGGUAGGGUACAGUAGCUCUGUUGCAACGUCGCCUAAUUUAUGACGCCUUCAAGUGUGUCCGCAGGCACUUUUCCUACUCGUAACUCGCCUCUGGCCUCGCAAUGAUUUUGUUCAACGAGCAUUUUCGACAUUUAGGAAUUUCGAUUCCCUUAUGUCUUGUACUAUGUAAAUAUUAAGCCUAUUUACGAGAAAGAUUGAUGUAUCAAUUAUUAAAAAACUAAAUAUCUAUAGUCUCGUUCCGUCGUGUCGUUUUUAAAAACAUGAGAGGCUCGUCGAUCUAAAAAAAUUUAAUUUCGGUAGUUCAAAGAAAUAUGCAUUCAAAAAUAAUGACUUUGGCCAUGCAUUGAAUCAGACCUUUAAAUUCGAGGUCGACUCUUUUGACCGUUUGACCGUCGAUGCUCGACGAACUACGUUUACCUCACAUCUGUUCGGUCACUUCGUCAAACGGUGCUUGAAUUCAUUAAAAGAAAAAUGCCACCUUCCUAUGUA